CUUGCAAAACUAGGUGAAGGAGGUGGUUCUGCUCGGCACUCAGCAGUGGCCACAUCUCCACCUGAAGCGACUUGACUGCUUCCGUGUCCUUCUCAUGGG
rfam:Dipodomys ordii contig_70891, whole genome shotgun sequence.